AGAGUUUGAUCCUGGCUCAGGAUGAACGCUGGCGGCGUGCCUAACACAUGCAAGUCGAACGAGCCGAUUCCCUUCGGGGAUGACGCGAGUGGCGGACGGGUGAGUAACGCGUGGGUAACCUGCCCUGUACAGGGGGAUAACAGUUGGAAACGACUGCUAAUACCGCAUAAGCGCACGAGGGGACAUCCUCUUGUGUGAAAAACUCCGGUGGUAUGAGAUGGACCCGCGUUGGAUUAGGCAGUUGGCGGGGUAACGGCCCACCAAACCGACGAUCCAUAGCCGGCCUGAGAGGGUGAACGGCCACAUUGGGACUGAGACACGGCCCAAACUCCUACGGGAGGCAGCAGUGGGGAAUAUUGCACAAUGGGGGAAACCCUGAUGCAGCGACGCCGCGUGAGUGAAGAAGUUAUUCGUAAUGUAAAGCUCUAUCAGCAGGGAAGAAAAUGACGGUACCUGACUAAGAAGCCCCGGCUAACUACGUGCCAGCAGCCGCGGUAAUACGUAGGGGGCAAGCGUUAUCCGGAUUUACUGGGUGUAAAGGGAGCGUAGACGGCUUAGCAAGUCUGAUGUGAAAGGCAGGGGCUCGACUCCUGGACUGCAUUGGAAACUGUUAAGCUGGAGUGCCGGAGAGGUAAGCGGAAUUCCUAGUGUAGCGGUGAAAUGCGUAGAUAUUAGGAGGAACACCAGUGGCGAAGGCGGCUUACUGGACGGUAACUGACGUUGAGGCUCGAAAGCGUGGGGAGCAAACAGGAUUAGAUACCCUGGUAGUCCACGCUGUAAACGAUGACUACUAGGUGUUGGGGGACAUGGUCCUUCGGUGCCGCAGCAAACGCAAUAAGUAGUCCACCUGGGGAGUACGUUCGCAAGAAUGAAACUCAAAGGAAUUGACGG
rnacentral:rRNA from 1 species